AAGUCGUAACAAGGUCUCCGUUGGUGAACCAGCGGAGGGAUCAUUACAGAGUUGCAAAACUCCCACAAACCAUCGCGAAUCUUACCCGUACGGUUGCCUCGGCGCUGGCGGUCCGGAAGGCCCUCGGGCCCCCGGACCCUCGGGUCUCCCGCUCGCGGGAGGCUGCCCGCCGGAGUGCCGAAACCAAACUCUUGAUAUUUUAUGUCUCUCUGAGUAAACUUUUAAAUAAGUCAAAACUUUCAACAACGGAUCUCUUGGUUCUGGCAUCGAUGAAGAACGCAGCGAAAUGCGAUAAGUAAUGUGAAUUGCAGAAUUCAGUGAAUCAUCGAAUCUUUGAACGCACAUUGCGCUCGCCAGUAUUCUGGCGAGCAUGCCUGUUCGAGCGUCAUUUCAACCAUCAAGCUCUGCUUGCGUUGGGGAUCCGCGGCUGCCCGCGGUCCCUCAAAAACAGUGGCGGGCUCGCUAGUCACACCGAGCGUAGUAACUCUACAUCGCUAUGGUCGUGCGGCGGGUUCUUGCCGUAAAACCCCCAAUUUCUAAGGUUGACCUCGGAUCAGGUAGGAAUACCCGCUGAACUUAAGCAUAUCAAUAAGCGGAGGAA
rnacentral:rRNA from 1 species